CCAUGAGUAACCCCAUAAAAAUAUGGAAAAUAUUAUGCUAGGACUAGUAACAAGAAUGUAAAAUUCUCCAAAAUGCGCGCAUAAGCCGGAACGGACCCUCCCCCGGCAAUUAACGAAAAUGGCCCCACUACAGUAACAUAACAAGAAAACCCUGUACCUCCCCCCGUUAACCUAACACUAGAGCAUUUCCGGAAAGAUUAACAGAGAGAGAAGGAACUCGGCAAAUCUCUACCCCGCCUGUUUACCAAAAACAUCGCCUCUUGCCCUAACAUAAGAGGUCCAGCCUGCCCAGUGAUAAAAUUCAACGGCCGCGGUACCCUAACCGUGCAAAGGUAGCAUAAUCACUUGUUCCUUAAAUAGGGACUCGUAUCAACGGCAUAACGAGGGUCGCACUGUCUCCUCUUUCCAAUCAGUGAAACUGAUCCCCCCGUGAAAAAGCGGGGAUAAAAUUAUAAGACGAGAAGACCCCAUGGAGCUUCAAACCCACAACAACUCAAUUAUAACUUCCCCAUAGAACACUGAGAUAUGUAUGCAGGUUUUGGGUUGGGGUGACCACGGAGCAAAAACUAACCUCCAUGACGUAAAGAACUAAAUCUUUAUCCCAGAGCCACAUCUCCAAGAAUUAGCACACUAACGAAAUGACCCGACUAGAUCAACGAACCAAGUUACCCUGGGGAUAACAGCGCAAUCUACUUAAAGAGCCCCUAUCGACAAGUAGGCUUACGACCUCGAUGUUGGAUCAGGGUAUCCGGCGG
rnacentral:rRNA from 1 species